ensembl:lncRNA
CGAUUGAUCAGUUUCUAAUUUGAUCCUAUUUCCUUGAAGGUGUGAUAGUACCAAAGAAAACAGAACAUACUUCUCAGUUAGGUUUUGAAGGAAGUCCAUCAGUGUCAGAUGUUCCACAUUGUUGAGCUUCCCCUCUUCUGUGGUUUCCAUCACUGAGGUUGCUCUGCUCCUGGUAGAAUUGCUCUGCUCCUGGUAGAAAUGUAAUUAUAUUGCAAAUAAUCAAACUUAAUAUACAACAAAUAUCAUACUGAAAUGAUUAUUAACUGUUAAAGAGUGGAGGAGCAUUGUCAACGUUGGGCCAAUUAAACAACUGCAACACAACAGAGAUGGUUGUGGUACAUCAACAUUGCCAAUGAUAGCAUCGCUAUAACAUUUUAUUGGAUUAAUGUUGUAAUAUGAAAUGACAAGGUCAACUUACCAUCUCAUUGACAGCUUCAGAGGUCAGGUGGUCAUCCACCACACAGACAGGCAGGUCUAGAGACUGGGACAAGGCUCUAUGGUCAUAACCAGGAGAGAAUGGAAACAACAUCAGAGCAGUCCCAAUGGCAGAAUCUAACCACUGUCUUCAUGUCAAAGACUCACUUAGUAGUUAAUACAUGGCCACAAAUAAUGAGCGGUUCAAAUAGAUCGGCUGGGGACUUGACCCUACAAAUGACUCCAUGAAUGACGCCUGACCUGCCCCAUAACAAGUUCUUUCUUAUUAGUCUCUCUCUCUUAAUCUCCACACAAAUAUCUAACUGGACAGAGUGUAAGUGGCCUUACCUGACUCUCUCAGUGUCAGAAACAUCAUAGUCUUGUUGUUCUAUGUCCUCCAGGGACAUCUCAGCUACAGCAGACGGGGCAAAGCCCGGGAUGAUCUCUCAAACUGAAAAUAAUGACUGUUUAUGUGAACUGAACCAUUUACAGUGGCUUGCGAAAGUAUUCACCCCCCUUGGCAUUUUCCCUAUUUUGUUGCCUUAUAACCUGGAAUUAAAAUAGAUUUUUGCACUGUCAACUGUGGGACCUUAGGUAUGUGCCUUUCCAAAUCAUGUCCAAUCAAUUGAAUUUACCACAGGUGGACUCCAAUCAUGUUGUAGAAAUACCUCAAGGAUGAUCAAGGGAAACAGGAUGCACCGGUGCUCAAUUUCGAGUCUCAUAGCAAAGGGUUUGAAUACUUAUGUAAAUAAGGUAUUUCUGUUUUUUUCCGUUUUAAAUUGCAAAAAUGUCUAAACUGUUUUUGCUUUGUCAUUAUAGGAUAUUGUGUGUAGAUUGAUGAGGAAAAUGUUGUAUGUAAUCCAUUUUAGAAUGAGGCUGUAACGUAAAAAAUGAAAUGUGUAAAAAGUCAAGGGGUCUGAAUACUUUCCAAAUGCACUGAAGCAGUCUAUAAGAUAUAUCUUAUUACAGUUUAGGCCUACCUUGUUAUUUUCUUCCAUCUGGCAAUAUCAUAUUAAUGGAUUAAAUCUAUUUAGUUUGUUUUGUUGCUAGUAUUUUUAUUAAUCGUUUGAAAAUACAAGUAUUAUCUACUUUCUGAAGGACAGCCAAGUUGAUAGGCAACAUAGAACCUACAAACAAUUAUGACAUCAUUGGAACACAUGCACGUGUCACAAACACCUUUAGCCCAAAAAAGCAGUGUAGCAGUGCUGCCCAAGCUGGGGGCGAUACACUUUUAUUAGGCUUUUAUUCAGAUUCACAAACAAUGCUCUACUUGAAGUCAAUGAGUAAACAUGUAGCAACAUGGCUGAGCUUUAACGUGUAAGUAGAAGUUGACACUAACCAUAUGUAU